AAUCAACGCUGGCGGCGUGCCUCAGACAUGCAAGUCGAACGAUUAAGACUUCUUUCGGGAAGUGUAUAAAGUGGCGCACGGGUGAGUAACACGUAAGUAAUCUACCCUCGAGUGGGGAAUAACGUUCGGAAACGAACGCUAAUACCGCAUAAUGCAGCGGCAUCGAAAGAUGACAGUCGUUAAAGGAGUAAUUCGCUUGAGGAGGAGCUUGCGGCAGAUUAGCUAGUUGGUAAGGUAACGGCUUACCAAGGCUACGAUCUGUAUCCGGUCUAAGAGGACGGUCGGACACACUGACACUGAAUAACGGGUCAGACUCCUACGGGAGGCAGCAGUCGGGAAUUUUGGGCAAUGGGCGAAAGCCUGACCCAGCAACGCCGCGUGAAGGAUGAAGUAUUUCGGUAUGUAAACUUCGAAAGAAUGGGAAGAAUAAAUGACGGUACCAUUUAUAAGCUCCGGCUAACUACGUGCCAGCAGCCGCCGUAAAAC
rnacentral:rRNA from 1 species